GGAUUAGAUACCCUGGUAGUCCACGCCGUAAACGAUGUCAACUAGCCGUUGGGGGACUUGAUUCCUUAGUGGCGCAGCUAACGCGAUAAGUUGACCGCCUGGGGAGUACGGCCGCAAGGUUAAAACUCAAAUGAAUUGACGGGGGCCCGCACAAGCGGUGGAGCAUGUGGUUUAAUUCGAUGCAACGCGAAGAACCUUACCAGGUCUUGACAUCCUCGGAACUUUCCAGAGAUGGAUUGGUGCCUUCGGGAACCGAGUGACAGGUGCUGCAUGGCUGUCGUCAGCUCGUGUUG
rnacentral:rRNA from 1 species